UUCAAUUUCUUCUCUCUCUCAGUCCUUUCUCUCAUUCUCUCUCUCUUCCUUUCUCACUUUCUCUCUCACGUUUCUUCUCUUCCCUUUCCUUUUUCUUUCUUUCUUCUUUACAAACCGGAUGGUACUCUAUGAUACUCUUGGAGCGUUUCUGGUAUGUCCACGGAAACUUACGGAGCUUCGAAACUACUGAAGAUGUUGUAGUUAUUGUAUGUCACUCUUCAUGUUAGGGUUUGUGGUGAAUUUUGUGCAGGGAGGAUUUGGAGUAUAUAAAGGGUUUUGGUUUUGUGGCUAGGGUUCAAUAACGGGAAAAUUACGGUUUUAAUUUUAUAGACUUAUCAUCGGUGUUCGGUCGAAGAGGUUGCCGGUUUGAACGUUGUUGCUGUUUUAUUGUUAUAGUGUCCACAAAAUCAAUGUUUUGUCGUUGUUGGUCGUAAACAAGCAUCUUUGAAAUUGCCUUUAAUGGUGGGAACAUAUUCGGUGUCGGCUUUGCUUCGUCAAGUGCAUGUUGGGAAUUUUCGU